GCGAGGUAGAGCAAAUCUCAAAAAAACAAUCUCAGUUCAGACUGCAGGCUGCAACUCGCCUGCACGAAGUCGGAAUUGCUAGUAAUCGUAGGUCAGCAUACUACGGUGAAUACGUUCCCGGGCCUUGUACACACCGCCCGUCAAACCAUGAGAGUUGGCAACACCCGAAGUCGGUAGUCUAACCGCAAGGAGGACGCCGCCGAAGGUGGGGUUGAUGAUUAGGGUGAAGUCGUAACAAGGUAAC
rnacentral:rRNA from 1 species